GGAUCACUAGGUCAGGAGUUGGAGACCAACCUGACCAACAUGGUGAAACUCUGUCUCUACUAAAAAUACAAAAAUUAGCUGGGCGUGGUGUCGCGUGCUUGUAAUCCCAGCUACUCCGGAGGCUGAGGCAGGAGAAUCGCUUCAAUCUGGGAGGGGGAGAUUGCAGUGAACCGAGAUUGUGCCAUUGCACUCCAGCCUGGGCAAAAGAGCAAGACUCCAUUUCAAAAAAAAAUCUUAAAAAUACGAAGUUUUUCAUUUUUCUUAAAUUUUCAUUGUGACUACUUUAGUAGACUUGCCAGUAAUAAGCCAGUUACCGCUUGAAUCUCAGUUUCUUUAUCUGGAAAGUGGUCAUUAUUUAUCUGCUGUCCCCUUACCUAGAGGGAAUCAAAUGCGUUUGAUACAGGUUAACAUUUAAAAUGCUUUCAAAUUGGGCAUGAGCCACCACACCUGGCCUAAAGUAGCUUUUAAUUAUGGAGAAUGUGGCAGAACUCACUUUUAGUAACAGCUUUAUUCAAUGUAAUUUGUAUACCAUAAAAUUUACACUUUUAAAGUAUACAGUUUGGACCGUGUGCAGUGGCUCACUCCUGUAAUCCCAGCACUUUGGGAUGCCAAGGCAAGAGGAUCACUUAAGCCCAGGAAUUCAAGACCAGCCUAAGUAACAUAGUGAGACCACGUCUCUACAAAAAAAAUUUUAAAAAUUAGCCAGGGGUGGUGGCAUGUACCUGUGGUCCCAGCUACUUGGGAGGCUGCAGUGGGAGGAUUGCUUAAGCCCUGGAGGUCAAGGCUGCAGUGAGCCAUUAUCUCACUACUGUACUCCAGCCUGGGUGACAGAGCAAGACCCUGUAUGAUUUGGUGGGGUUUAGUAUAUUCAGAGAUGUUCAACCAUCAUUAUUAUCUAAUUUCAGAACCUUUUUAUCACCCCCAAAGAAAAGUCCUUUAUAUAGGACUAACAAUUCCUUUUCAUUUAUCUUUUUAUUUAUUGAAGUGAAACAUCACUUAGAACAUGGUUCUCAGCUAAGGGACAGUCUUUUCAUCCCAAACCCUCAUCCCACCCCAGAGCAUUUGGCAGUGUCCAGAGACG
rnacentral:lncRNA from 1 species